rnacentral:rRNA from 1 species
CUACGGGGUGCUGCAGUGAGGAAUUUUGCGCAAUGGGGGAAACCCUGACGCAGCAACGCCGCGUGAGUGAAGAAGGCUUUCGGGUCGUAAAGCUCUGUCAGAUAGGAAAAAAGUUCAUAUGUAAAUAGCUUAUGAAUCUGAUGGUACUAUCAGAGGAAGCACCGGCUAACUCCGUGCCAGCAGGCCGCGGUAAUACGGAGGGUGCAAGCGUUGUUCGGAAUUACUGGGCGUAAAGGGCGUGUAGGCGGUAUGGUAAGUCAGAUGUGAAAGCCCUGGGCUUAACUCAGGAAGUGCAUUUGAUACUGCCAUCCUUGAGUAUGGGAGAGGAGAGUAGAAUUCCCAGUGUAGAGGUGAUAUUCGUAGAUAUUGGGAGGAAUACCCGUGGCGAAGGCGACUCUCUGGACCAAUACUGACGCUGAGACGCGAAAGCGUGGGGAGCAAACAGGAUUAGAUACCCUUGUAGUC